AUUGAACGCUGGCGGCAGGCCUAACACAUGCAAGUCGAGCGGAUGAAGGGAGCUUGCUCCUGGAUUCAGCGGCGGACGGGUGAGUAAUGCCUAGGAAUCUGCCUGGUAGUGGGGGAUAACGUCCGGAAACGGGCGCUAAUACCGCAUACGUCCUGAGGGAGAAAGUGGGGGAUCUUCGGACCUCACGCUAUCAGAUGAGCUUAGGUCGGAUUAGCUAGUUGGUGGGGUAAAGGCCUACCAAGGCGACUAUCCGUAACUGGUCUGAGAGGAUGAUCAGUCACACUGGAACUGAGACACGGUCCAGACUCCUACGGGAGGCAGCAGUGGGGAAUAUUGGACAAUGGGCGAAAGCCUGAUCCAGCCAUGCCGCGUGUGUGAAGAAGGUCUUCGGAUUGUAAAGCACUUUAAGUUGGGAGGAAGGGCAGUAAGUUAAUACCUUGCUGUUUUGACGUUACCAACAGAAUAAGCACCGGCUAACUUCGUG
rnacentral:rRNA from 1 species